rnacentral:rRNA from 1 species
UACGGAAGGGGCAAGCGUUGUUCGGAAUCAUUGGGCGUAAAGGGCGCGUAGGUGGUUCUGUAUGUCUACCGUGAAAGCGUACGGCUCAACUGUAUUUUGUCGGUAGAAACUGCAGGACUUGAGGCUGGGGAGGGGCUGGUGGAAUUCCCUGUGUAGCGGUGAAAUGCGUAGAGAUGGGGGAGAACACUCGGUGGCGAAGGCGGCCAGCUAGACCAGUUCUGACACUGAGGCGCGACAGCGUGGGGAGCAAACAGG